ACCAAAAAGAUGGUGAACCAUGCCUGGGCAGGGCAAAGCCAGGGGAAACUCUGGUGAAGGCCCAUAGCAGUCUUGACAUGCAAAUCGGUCAUCUGACCUGGGUAUAAGGGCGAAAGACUAAUUGAACCAUCUAGUAGCUGG
rnacentral:ncRNA from 1 species